UCUCGAUUCGUCUAGUGGUUAGGAUACCUGCUUGUCAUCAAGGCUCACGAUAGUGUCUAUAGCGCGCAGGUGGCCGGGGUUCAAUUCCCCGAUCGAGAG